GGGCUCACUUCAGCAGCAUAUAUACUAAAAUUGGAAUGAUACAGAGAAGAUAAGCAUGGCCCCUGUGCAAGGAUGACAUGCAAAUUCAUGAAGUGCUCCAUAUAUUA